rnacentral:rRNA from 1 species
AUUGAACGCUGGCGGCAUGCUUUACACAUGCAAGUCGAACGGCAGCGCGGGCUUCGGCCUGGCGGCGAGUGGCGAACGGGUGAGUAAUACAUCGGAACGUGCCCAGUAGUGGGGGAUAGCUCGGCGAAAGCCGGAUUAAUACCGCAUACGACCUGAGGGUGAAAGCGGGGGAUCUUCGGACCUCGCGCUAUUGGAGCGGCCGAUGGCAGAUUAGCUAGUUGGUGGGGUAAAGGCCUACCAAGGCGACGAUCUGUAGCUGGUCUGAGAGGACGACCAGCCACACUGGGACUGAGGCACGGCCCAGACUCCUACGGGAGGCAGCAGUGGGGAAUUUUGGACAAUGGGCGAAAGCCUGAUCCAGCAAUGCCGCGUGUGUGAUGAAGGCCUUCAGGUUGUAAAGCACUUUUGGCGGGAACGAAAAGGACUGUGCCAAUACCACGGUUCGAUGACGGUACCCGCAGAAUAAGCACCGGCUAACUACGUG